AACGGACGAGAAGCUUGCUUCUCUGAUAUUAGCGGCGGACGGGUGAGUAACACGUGGAUAACCUACCUAUAAGACUGGGAUAACUUCGGGAAACCGGAGCUAAUACCGGAUAAUAUUUUGAACCGCAUGGUUCAAAAGUGAAAGACGGUCUUGCUGUCACUUAUAGAUGGAUCCGCGCUGCAUUAGCUAGUUGGUAAGGUAACGGCUUACCAAGGCAACGAUGCAUAGCCGACCUGAGAGGGUGAUCGGCCACACUGGAACUGAGACACGGUCCAGACUCCUACGGGAGGCAGCAGUAGGGAAUCUUCCGCAAUGGGCGAAAGCCUGACGGAGCAACGCCGCGUGAGUGAUGAAGGUCUUCGGAUCGUAAAACUCUGUUAUUAGGGAAGAACAUAUGUGUAAGUAACUGUGCACAUCUUGAUGGUACCUAAUCAGAAAGCCACGGCUAACUACGUGCCAGCAGCCGCGGUAAUACGUAGGUGGCAAGCGUUAUCCGGAAUUAUUGGGCGUAAAGCGCGCGUAGGCGGUUUUUUAAGUCUGAUGUGAAAGCCCACGGCUCAACCGUGGAGGGUCAUUGGAAACUGGAAAACUUGAGUGCAGAAGAGGAAAGUGGAAUUCCAUGUGUAGCGGUGAAAUGCGCAGAGAUAUGGAGGAACACCGGUGGCGAAGGCGACUUUCUGGUCUGUAACUGACGCUGAUGUGCGAAAGCGUGGGGAUCAAACAGGAUUAGAUACCCUGGUAGUCCACGCCGUAAACGAUGAGUGCUAAGUGUUAGGGGGUUUCCGCCCCUUAGUGCUGCAGCUAACGCAUUAAGCACUCCGCCUGGGGAGUACGACCG
rnacentral:rRNA from 1 species